GGUGAUGUCGUAAGGGAAAAUAAUGAUAUUACCUUACUAAUAGUGUCGUCCAAAACUAGUGCCAGAAGACUCGGUAAGACCAGAGACGCAAACGUUAAUCAUCUUAAGCAGGCGUAAAGGGUUUGUAGGCUGCUCUGAAAGGAUUAUUUCUAAGCAAAAAAUAAUUUAACUAAGAGCUUUAAUAGAGGUUAUAAUUUGAGUAAUUCUUAGAGGAGGGUUGAUAUCUAUAGAUACUAAGAGGAAGUCUCAUGGCGAAAGCAUCUUUCCACUAAAGAUUGACGUUGAGAAACGAAAGUUGGAUAGGAAAUAGGAUUAGAUACCCCGGUACUCCCUUCUGUUAACAAUGAAUGGUAGUUAUUAGAGAAAUUCUAGUGGCGAAGCUAACGCGAUAACCAUUCCGCCUUGUAAGUACGACUGCAAAGUUGAAAACAAAAAAAUAAGUCGUUCU
rnacentral:rRNA from 1 species